AUACGGAGGAUCCGAGCGUUAUCCGGAUUUAUUGGGUUUAAAGGGAGCGUAGGCGGAUUAUUAAGUCAGUUGUGAAAGUUUGCGGCUCAACCGUAAAAUUGCAGUUGAUACUGGUAGUCUUGAGUGCAGCAGAGGUAGGCGGAAUUCGUGGUGUAGCGGUGAAAUGCUUAGAUAUCACGAAGAACUCCGAUUGCGAAGGCAGCUUACUGGACUGUAACUGACGCUGAUGCUCGAAAGUGUGGGUAUCAAACAGGAUUAGAUACCCUGGUAGUCCACACAGUAAACGAUGAAUACUCGCUGUUUGCGAUAUACAGCAAGCGGCCAAGCGAAAGCAUUAAGUAUUCCACCUGGGGAGUACGCCGGCAACGGUGAAACUCAAAUGAAUUGACGGGG
rnacentral:rRNA from 1 species